rnacentral:rRNA from 1 species
AGCGAACGCUGGCGGCAGGCUUAACACAUGCAAGUCGAACGGGCGUAGCAAUACGUCAGUGGCAGACGGGUGAGUAACGCGUGGGAACGUACCUUUUGGCUCGGAACAACCCAGGGAAACUUGGGCUAAUACCGGAUAAGCCCUUACGGGAAAGAUUUAUCGCCAAAGAUCGGCCCGCGUCUGAUUAGCUAGUUGGUGAGGUAACGGCUCACCAAGGCGACGAUCAGUAGCUGGUCUGAGAGGAUGGCCAGCCACAUUGGGACUGAGACACGGCCCAAACUCCUACGGGAGGCAGCAGUGGGAAUCUUGCGCAAUGGGCGAAAGCCUGACGCAGCCAUGCCGCGUGGAUGAUGAAGGUCUUAGGAUUGUAAAAUCCUUUCACCGGGACGAUAAUGACGGUACCCGGAGAAGAAGCCCCGGCUAACUUCGUGCCAGCAGCCGCCGUAAU